rnacentral:lncRNA from 1 species
CAAGCAAGAAAACAGUUAACUUUAAGUGUCAGUGCUAUUGCAACCUCAAUGAGAUUUUAUCUGUGGAGUGAAUGAUGAGGGGAGACCAAAUUUAUUGUCAUCCAGAGGAAGUAUUUAUAAACUUGGCAGAGCCACAUGUGAGAGUAGAACAAAGGCUGCCAAAGAGGUUCAUAAAUUGAGAUGAAUGAUCUGCAAGUAUUUUCCAUUGCCUACAUAUGGUUAUAUAUACACUGUGUGGCUCAAGCUCA